CGGGACGGGUGAGUAAUGUCUGGGAAACUGCCUGAUGAGGGGGGAUAACUACUGGAAACGGUAGCUAAUACCGCAUAACGUCGCAAGACCAAAGAGGGGGACCUUCGGGCCUCUUGCCAUCGGAUGUGCCCAGAUGGGAUUAGCUAGUAGGUGGGGUAACGGCUCACCUAGGCGACGAUCCCUAGCUGGUCUGAGAGGAUGGCCAGCCACACUGGAACUGAGACACGGUCCAG
rnacentral:rRNA from 1 species